rnacentral:rRNA from 1 species
AUUGAACGCUGGCGGCAUGCCUUACACAUGCAAGUCGAACGGUAACAGGUCUUCGGAUGCUGACGAGUGGCGAACGGGUGAGUGAUACAUCGGAACGUGCCCGAUCGUGGGGGAUAACUACUCGAAAGAGUAGCUAAUACCGCAUACGAUCUACGGAUGAAAGCGGGGGAUCUUCGGACCUCGUGCGGACGGAGCGGCCGAUGGCAGAUUAGGUAGUUGGUGGGAUAAAAGCUUACCAAGACGACGAUCUGUAGCUGGUCUGAGAGGACGACCAGCCACACUGGGACUGAGACACGGCCCAGACUCCUACGGGAGGCAGCAGUGGGGAAUUUUGGACAAUGGGCGAAAGCCUGAUCCAGCAAUGCCGCGUGCAGGAUGAAGGCCUUCGGGUUGUAAACUGCUUUUGUACGGAACGAAAAGACUCCUUCUAAUACAGGGGGUCCAUGACGGUACCGUAAGAAUAAGCACCGGCUAACUACGUGCCAGCAGCCGCCGUAA